rnacentral:lncRNA from 1 species
UCAACAUUAUUAUUGUGAUGUCUUGCACUAAUCAGUGUUUGUUUUGUAUCAUAUUUCAGGUAAUGGUAUGAAUUGAGAUGAUUUAUUUAGUUACCUUCAACUGGUCAGUGGUCAACAAGAGAGUAUUACUGUGUGUCUUGAAACAUUGAAUGCCCCAAAACAACUAGUAUGAUAAGAAGGUAUACUAUCUAGGUUGAAAUUAGCCAUGGACAAUGAAUUUGGAGGUGCAUGCUGGAGCAUCAGAAAUUACAGACUUGGAAUAGAUAUUUGCAUAAUAUACAAGUAACAUUUACUGAAAAAUGACUAAUGUUUAUGUUAAUAAAGUGCAAUAUCAUGCUUGUAACAUUUACAUGGGGGUAAUAGUUACAGUGUUGAAAGAGACUGCCAGUGUUACAUUUCAAUCUAAGUUACAGUGUGGAUGCUAAUUCUAAAUUCUUGAUAGUCAAGUGUUUUUAGUAACUUAUGGAUACUAAUUAUUUAUCAAACUGUUUAAUUUAUCACAUUCCUACAUCAUUAUUUUACAUAAAAUGUUUGUGGUUAUAUAAUAUAUGUUUAUAUGGUAAUAAAUUUUGUUUCUGUGUAAAUAUCUUUGUUUUUAAAAAAUGAAAAUGAAACAUUCAGUGACCAUCUUCUGUCAACAAGUUAUUAUAAAUGCAACAAAACUGAUGAAAAGUUAUCCAAUUACUUUUCACAGGUUAAUAUUGAAUAGCAGAAUACACAUAACAUUGUGUAGUUUUCCUGACUUGUAUCUGAGGCCAUUAUAAAUUAAUUGCUAGAUUAAAUUUUCUUCACAAGGGUAAGAAUUUUUUUUUUAUUUCAGAUAUAUUUUAUUUUUGUUUAAUGAAGAGUUAAAUAGAAAUAAUGACAUGUAAUAGUUAUUUUUGUCAAAUAGAUUUGAUUAUAAGGAAUAACAACUGAAAGAAAAUAAUUUAUUACAUUCUUUAUAGAAGUUUUUCAUACUAAAAAUGGUUAAGGGGAGGCAUAAAAAUAGUGGGAGUGGAUGAUAAUCUAUCAAUUAAUAUAGUAUGGCCUUACAUAUAUAAAUCAAUAAAUAUUUACUGGCAAUAAUAUUGAUUAGGUAUGAUGCAGCUAUAUGUUAAAUAUAUUUUUUUAAAAUGGUGAUUUGUUAUGAGAAAAUAAGCUGAUAUAUACAGUCUAGAGUCUUCUAGUAAGCUGCAUAAUCAUGCUUGGAACUAGCUCCAUAUGUCCUUUCUUUUGAAAUCAUAAACUUUACUUCAUAUAAAAUAGCCAAGUAUCACAAUUAUAUGAAUGUGUACACAACUGAAAAAGCAUUGCAUUCAUUUUCUUAAGUAAUAGUUAGCAUUUGGUUAUUACUCAUAUUUGGCUUUCAAUAACUGGAAAGGGAAAUCAAUAAAAGGAAUUUAUGAUUAUACACAAAAUAUGGAGAAGACUGAAAGCAGUAACUGAUCAUUGCAAUAAUAGCAGAAUACUUUAGCUUAUGAUUGUCAAAAUUCAUUGUAGACUAAUAGAUGAACUCUUUCUUUAAGGUGCCAGUAGGUUAAAUGUCAAUAUCACAGUGACCCUAUAUAAGACUGAAAUAUUUUAUUAUCGAAAGCUGAAUGAUACUUAAUUUUGCCCAUUGUCAUCAGGCUUUAAAUGUAACAGAUGAAUAAUGUGGGGUCAGUAGAUCAAAGAUAAAGGUCACAGUGACAAUUAGAUAAACAGUGAUCUUGAGAACACUUUGAUAUACUAUGUGCAGUAGAUGACCACUAUAAUAAUUUGGCACAUAGGUCAAAGUUCAAAUUCAAACCAUUCUGAAAAUAAAUGUAAGUUACAUGCCCAGUCACCACUGACAGGCCAUCAUGGGAGACAUAUAAUUUUGUCUUUUUUUUCUGUUGCCAUUGUUAUGAGACCAGCUCUUCAAUUGGCUCUCUUCGAAAUUGUGCAGUUUCUACUUAUUUUUCUCCAGUAAUAGUACCUUAACCUUUGAAACCUACAUUUUCUCUUCUGUUGCCAUGGCAAUGAAAAUUUUUUAUACCUUUUUCGCAUGCAAAACAAAGUGAGUGGAUUUAAAUCCAUUUUAUCACUGCUAACAGUUUUAUCUUUAUAAUUAAGUUGUGACAACAAAUGAUGAAAACUUACCUUAUCCUACGGAAACAUUAUUAAACAGAUUACCACAUGGCCUGUUACCAUGGCAACUGAAAGGCUAUUUUCUGUUUUCUUUACAGGAGCAUUGUGAAUUGUCAAUUGUAACAGUGAUCAGCCCAUAAAUGUCCAAAAAUCAAAAUAUUGAAGCCAUAACAUGCAAAAAGGUUAAAAAAUGCUAAAUUUUAGCCCCGUUGCCAUGGCAACUGAAAGGCUAUUUUCUGUUUUCUUUACAGGAGCAUUGUGAAUUAUCAAUUGUACCAGUGAUCAGCCCAUAAAUGUCCAAAAAUCAAAAUAUUGAAGCCAUAACAUGUAAAAAAGUUAAAAAAUGCUAAAUUUUAGCCAUGUUGCCAUGGCAACCAACAGUAAAAGUACACCUUUUUUAUUCACAAAUAUACCAGACCAAGAAUUCUUCCUCUGAACAUGAUUUUAAAUCAUACUUUGAAACGUUAACAAAAAUAAAACAAUAAAAUAUUGUUUUUUAAGAAAUUUUUAGUUUCAGGAUUCCAAAGAGUUAUUUCCCUUAGUUAGAACCGUUUCUAUGACAAUUCUGUUAUCGGGUUAUACAUGUUUGAAUAGCCUGAUGGGUUUACAUUAAUAUUUUAAUUAAACAUUUGUAACAGUAAUCAUUUAUUAUUUUGUUUUUCCAAUUUAUUUAAGUAUACCCCCAAGACAUGCUAAUGCUUUCUUUCACAACAGCACAUAAUGCAAACAUUAAAUUUUCCAUAAACAAUUGUCCUUGAAGAUUUUAAUGUUUAUUUUUGGAAAAUACAUGCAUUUAGGUAAAAAAAGGCAUAUACUUUAUCAUCAUUUUGGUGGGGGCCCAAAUCCUAC